rnacentral:rRNA from 1 species
ACUGGAAUUCCUGGUGUAGCGGUGAAAUGCGCAGAUAUCAGGAGGAACACCGAUGGCGAAGGCAGGUCUCUGGGCAUUAACUGACGCUGAGGAGCGAAAGCAUGGGGAGCGAACAGGAUUAGAUACCCUGGUAGUCCAUGCCGUAAACGUUGGGCACUAGGUGUGGGGGACAUUCCACGUUUUCCGCGCCGUAGCUAACGCAUUAAGUGCCCCGCCUGGGGAGUACGGCCGCAAGGCUAAAACUCAAAGGAAUUGACGGGGGCCCGCACAAGCGGCGGAGCAUGCGGAUUAAUUCGAUGCAACGCGAAGAACCUUACCAAGGCUUGACAUGGGCCGGAUCGCCGCAGAAAUGUGGUUUCCCCUUUGGGGCCGGUUCACAGGUGGUGCAUGGUUGUCGUCAGCUCGUGUCGUGAGAUGUUGGGUUAAGUCCCGCAACGAGCGCAACCCUCGUUCUAUGUUGCCAGCGCGUUAUGGCGGGGACUCAUAGGAGACUGCCGGGGUCAACUCGGAGGAAGGUGGGGACGACGUCAAAUCAUCAUGCCCCUUAUGUCUUGGGCUUCACGCAUGCUACAAUGGCCGGUACAAAGGGUUGCGAUACUGUGAGGUGGAGCUAAUCCCAAAAAGCCGGUCUCAGUUCGGAUUGGGGUCUGCAACUCGACCCCAUGAAGUCGGAGUCGCUAGUAAUCGCAGAUCAGCAACGCUGCGGUGAAUACGUUCCCGGGCCUUGUACACACCGCCCGUCAAGUCACGAAAGUUGGUAACACCCGAAGCCGGUGGCCUAACCCCUUGUGGGAGGGAGC